UACGAGGGGGGCGAGCGUUGUUCGGAAUUAUUGGGCGUAAAGGGUGCGUAGGUGGUUAGGUAAGUCCGAUGUGAAAUCUCCAGGCUCAACCUGGAAAUGGCAUUGGAUACUAUCUAGCUUGAGGAGUGGAGGGGGGACUGGAAUUCUCGGUGUAGCAGUGAAAUGCGUAGAUAUCGAGAGGAACACCAGUGGCGAAGGCGAGUCCCUGGACACUUCCUGACACUGAGGCACGAAAGCUAGGGGAGCAAACAGG
rnacentral:rRNA from 1 species